AAAUUGAAGAGUUUGAUCAUGGCUCAGAUUGAACGCUGGCGGCAGGCCUAACACAUGCAAGUCGAGCGGCAGCGGGAAAGUAGCUUGCUACUUUUGCCGGCGAGCGGCGGACGGGUGAGUAAUGCCUGGGGAUCUGCCCAGUCGAGGGGGAUAACAGUUGGAAACGACUGCUAAUACCGCAUACGCCCUACGGGGGAAAGGAGGGGACCUUCGGGCCUUUCGCGAUUGGAUGAACCCAGGUGGGAUUAGCUAGUUGGUGGGGUAAUGGCUCACCAAGGCGACGAUCCCUAG
rnacentral:rRNA from 1 species